rnacentral:rRNA from 1 species
UCAGAAUGGAUGGAAAUCAUUCGCAGAGUGUAAAGGCACAAGGGAGCUUGACUGCGAGACUGACAAGUCGAGCAGGGACGAAAGUCGGGCUUAGUGAUCCGGUGGUUCCGCAUGGAAGGGCCAUCGCUCAACGGAUAAAAGCUACCCCGGGGAUAACAGGCUUAUCUCCCCCAAGAGUCCACAUCGACGGGGAGGUUUGGCACCUCGAUGUCGGCUCGUCGCAUCCUGGGGCUGUAGUCGGUCCCAAGGGUUGGG